UACGAAGGGGGCUAGCGUUGUUCGGAAUUACUGGGCGUAAAGCGUGCGCAGGCGGCUUCUCAAGUCAGGGGUGAAAGCCCAGAGCUCAACUCUGGAAUUGCCUUUGAGACUGAGUGGCUUGAGUACGAGAGAGGUGAGUGGAAUUCCCAGUGUAGAGGUGAAAUUCGUAGAUAUUGGGAAGAAACACCCGUGGCGAAGGCGGCUCUCUGGGACGGUACUGACGCUGAGACGCGAAAGCGUGGGGAGCGAACAGG
rnacentral:rRNA from 1 species